UACGUAGGGUGCGAGCGUUGUCCGGAAUUACUGGGCGUAAAGCGCACGUAGGCGGAUCGAUCAGUCAGGGGUGAAAUCCCAGGGCUCAACCCUGGAACUGCCUUUGAUACUGUCGAUCUGGAGUAUGGAAGAGGUGAGUGGAAUUCCGAGUGUAGAGGUGAAAUUCGUAGAUAUUCGGAGGAACACCAGUGGCGAAGGCGGCUCACUGGUCCAUUACUGACGCUGAGGUGCGAAAGCGUGGGGAGCAAACAGG
rnacentral:rRNA from 1 species